rnacentral:tRNA from 1 species
GGACGGCAGAGGGAAUGUCAAAGGACAGACUAAGCUCGUAGAAGGACAGGGGAUUAUUCUUCGGACACGGGUUCGAUUCCCGUCUGGUCCA